AAAACGUCUAGCUUCCCCCUCAGUUAAGUGUUCAAAGUGUCCUAACUUCCAGCUUUGAAAUAGGACUGAAGAUGAACCAUGCUCCUGGCACCCCCUGUUGAGAGCCCAAGUUCAGCAGAUUGCGGCCAUGGGGGACUGAAAAUGGAGCCCUGGACAAAGACACUUGCUGGGUGACCCAAGGACACUGCAAUCUCUCCCUCAUAAGUGAGCACCUCGGAUUUAACUGUCCAGCAUCAUUUGGAGCACAGGGCGGAGGAUUAUACCGAGGAACCACACCCAUGUCAUUUGAAUUGUCCACAAGACCACUAUAAGGACUUUCCAGGACCAUCACAAGGCUGCAAACCGCAUUUGAAGUGCUGCUUCUGGGGCAUUCUUUCCAAAGAGCCUUUUAGCAGGGCAGGGAGUGAAAGGUGAGGACAAGCCUAGGAAAUACAUAAUCCAAGGCUAGGGAGAUAGAAGCUUAAUAUUUACUGCCGUGCCUGGGAAAAGUGAGGCUUG
rnacentral:lncRNA from 1 species